rnacentral:rRNA from 1 species
AACGAACGGUGGCGGCAGGCUUAACACAUGCAAGUCGAACGCCCCGCAAGGGGAGUGGCAGACGGGUGAGUAACGCGUGGGAAUCUACCUAGUUCUGCGGAACAACAGUUGGAAACGACUGCUAAUACCGCAUACGCCCUACGGGGGAAAGAUUUAUCGGAAUUAGAUGAGCCCGCGUAAGAUUAGCUAGUUGGUGGGUA